GAGGAGGAGGAGGAGGGGAGGGGUGGAGGAGGAUUCGAGGCGUCGCACGAGGAAAGAGACGAGCGAACGUGGGUGUAGCGGAAAAGCCGAGGAUAAGGUGGCCGACUGACUGGCUGACUGGGUCUGGCCGACCAGGGGGGAAGCGACGAAGAGUGGACCCGGGGCCAAAGGGAGGAUGGUCCACGAGUGUAUCGGCGGACGGGUGGAUAUUCCGUGGGUGGUGAACGAUGCCGCGCGAGAUGUUGACUGUCGCGACGACGACGGCGUCGUCGAGCCGCGAGGGAGACGAGGCCGAGCGACGAGGUUGCAGCUCGAUGUGAUUUUCGUUCCGAUGACAAUGAACUCGCGCACUUAAUUCGAGAGCCCAGAACUGCGGGACUCUUUUGGACCAGCUACGAAGCAUUCACUCACUGGAAUCCACACACGGCCACCAGCAGCACCUACUCACACGCGAGACACGUUUAAUGGACGAGAUAACGUCUCCACUCGGCGAAAUUCGUUCCUCGACGAAGAUUCCAUCCACCACAUAAUAAAGCGAGUCCAGGACAUCGCGGAUCGGAGCACGAUCACACUUUGGCGCACGUUGACGAAACGGUCGACACACGUUCGAGGGAGACGACGGGUUGCACGAGGAUCUCGCGGAUGGAAAGAACGAAGAAUGGAAAAAAGGAAGAGAGAAGAAGGAACGAAAGGAAAGUCGGUGCUAGGGCAUGGCAGGCAGGCGGAAUAUCGGAGUACUACCAGCUAAGAGUAGUACCGUCCGUUCUAACUAACACACAUAGAGACAGAUUGGGACUGCGCGUGCUAUAGGAUAGGAUGGAUGGUGAUGGCGGCCGCAGCGGCAGCCACCGCCCCCAUGCUUCUCUCUCCUUCUCACUUCCUCUCGCUCGUCCCCUCUCUCUCGCUCGCUCGCUCGGCCUCCCACGCUCCGCUUCCGCCCCUCCCGAGUGCCCCCACCGCUCACGCCGUCUCCCCACCGCUUUCGCGCUCCACAGCCUCCCCUCCCUCCGCCUCCAACUUCUCCUCGGCCACCCAUGACCUCUCCUGCAGCGAUCUCAUUGCCAGUAAAGCAGGCCGGUAGAAAAGACUGGACCGAUCGGUUGUCCGGUAGGAUCGGCGAGUGUGGAGGGGGGAGGGGGGAGGGACGCCACCCACCACUCUUCAUCCCUCCUACCUUGAUAUUUAACUCCCACCAGAUCUUCACGUUUACCCCUACUUAUACGUCGCGACGCCCCCUACGCACCCCCCCCUCCCACUACGCCCCUACACUGACGCUCAAGCUCGACUCUCUUUCUCUUGCGAGGAAACUCUGGCCACUCCGUAACGUCGCCACAUCCCCUACCUGGCUUCCCGCGUGUGCGUGAGAGCGCAAUCAAGACCAGGGACGUAACUGUGACUCCUGGGACCCUGCUGUCCACGUGGACGCUUCUAUGUUUUGGAGAUCAGCACCUGUCCGGGAUACGUUAAAAUGUCUUUCGGCAGUGUAAAAUUUCGAUUUUUCCUCGUACGAAGGGAACGUGAAAUCGUCAUUCGUGGAUUAUGAAUUUUUACGUAAAAUUCAUAGUAAAUUUAGCUGAUAAAAAAUUUUGCUCUUAUCGCGCUCGUGUGUGUCACCGGAAACCGAUAUCUCUCGAGGGAGAGAAUACAACCUUGCUUUAAAAGACUCAUGUGCUACUGGUUGUAAUUUCGACUUUCGAGAUUUCAAUGUCAGGGAUGUACUUCAAUAACGGUAGCUUAGUUCGCGGGAUAUCUUCGAUAAGGAAAGUAAGGACGAAUGGUCGUGGCGCGGUCGACGGCAGCGAUACCAUGGGUUAUCCCAAUAACGCAGCUAAGUCAACUCGAAAGGUUAAAUUCCCCUUCGACACUUCACUCUAAAUUUGUAUGUUACAUCAAAAUCUCUAAAUAUACCUAGAACGACGUUACUCCGCUCGUGUUCUGAAUUCCUUCUUUUACCAUCGAUCCACCAAUUCCCCGGCUGGCCCUCCGCGUAGUCUACAAUAUCGCUAAUCUGGGUUUCGAAAAUCAUUAUGCCGUCCGGGUCCAAGCCUUGUUUGCGCUCACCGCAAGGCACUCAAAUUUAUUCCAACCAACCGGGUACAGUAUAUCCCUAUACCUACGACCACGUGUGUCUCAUUCCUUCGGGACGCAUUGACGAAUAAAUUAGACCUUUUGUAUUUCUUUUUUUUUUCCUCGAAAAAUAUUAUUACCACCUACCACGUACCUACCCCCCCGAGUGCUGGGGUGUCUAGAAGAGGCAUUAACUCCGCUUCUUAUCCGCUUGUCGUAUAUAUACGUGGUAGCUUGUAAAAACCGCGAGAUCGUGUUCGCCAGAGGUAGGUAGGUAGGCAGAGGAUGGUGAGGGAGAAAAAAAAAAGAUAUUUGUCUUCGUAAAAUCUUCCACAGGCCGUCUUAGUUACAGCCACGUUGUAGUAAUAUAAUAAUAACAGUAAAUAGCCAAUGACGACAAUACAGCAACGUAAUACACCGUGGUUAUUAAAGUUCCUCGUUAUUAGCCCGACACCAUAGAUUCAGACUGCGUAUAUCUAUACAUAUUCAUUAUAUCAGCACAAUAGUCGUAUUUCAUCGAGAGUAAAGAUAUAUAUUUCAUUCUCGUCCGACGUAUCGUUAACACGCGCAGACACUAUUUAUAAGACGUGAGGGUCGAGGGGUUAUGGUAAAUUUUUUUUUCACCUCGAUACCCAUAUAACGUUUUUUUUUCUUCACGUACUCAUUAAUGCCGCAACCAAAUUCGAAAGACCAGACCGUUUGGAAAUUCGAAUCGAUGCCUACCGAUAGGCCUAGCUGCUUUCAAGGGUCUCGUAAGGGGCGCCUCGCGCGGUACACUAUUAUUAGUAUGCAGCUGCCCGUGAAUUAGUGAAUGAACGGAGGCAACGUCUCGAAACAAUGUGCCUCUGAAACAACAUCCAAGAUGAAUGCGGAGGACCAAUGAGCGGUGAGAGACCGAGACUCGACUCCCCGAAGCAUAUAACAGCGACAAUCACCGCGGGCAGUCUCGUCGCGCCACGUCGUCGAACGAUGACGAAACACGUUGAAAAAAUACCCAAGAGUGGUCACCGUGGAUACAGGGCAGUGGACGUAGGCUCGAAUAGAAAAAAAAAAAAUUUUUUUCAAAAUUUUUCCUAGCCACCUAAAAAACAAGGGUACUUCAGUGACUACGCACGGCCCUGAAUUCUGAUAGCAGCGCACUGGUCGCCAGCGGCUGGCGGGUUCGUUACCGAUGACGCGCCGGACGGUCACGAGAAUAGCCGAAGUUCUACGAGCGCAGCCGAACAUCCACCGGUGGGGAUAUCCUUGUCCAGGUGGGGAUUUUUCAUGCCCAACUGGGGAAAUUUUACUCGUUCCCUGCCCUCCUAACCCCCCUUUUCCUUUUUUUUUCCCUUCCCGCAGCAGCUCCGCGGCGCAACGAGUUACCCCCUUUUUGUUGCCGCCCAUUAGGCGCCGCCGCGGCGUGAUUCGCAACUGUGUUUCUUUAUCUCGGACGCGCACCGGUGUCGCGUCUGAACUUCGAGACAACGACCGACUCCACGAUUUCUCUCUCCUCGUGCACAGUACAAUAGAGACGUGAAUCAGCGGCGUAGAGAUCGCUGUCAUCCCCUUAUAUACAUGUCCCACCACGAAUGAUUUGUGGAAGUCGAGACCAAGAGAAAGUGGUCGUGGAAUAAAGUACGAAAGUGCCAAAGAAUUUCGAGGGGCAAGAGAAAGAAAUAAGGGAUGUAAAGAAAAAGAAAGAAAAAAAAAGAAAAAAAGGGAAAAGAAGGAAAUGAGCAAGGGUUAGGUGGAAGUAACGGCGACGCCGACGCCGCCGUCGCCAUCGACGUCGGAUGGGGGAGGAGGGUGGAAUUGGUCCAGCAGCCAUGAGAGAUGUAUAUGGGGUGAAGACCGCGCCACGUGCCCAUCGGCCCUUCAAUUCUCUCCUUCCGUCUCUCUCUUUCCUUUCUUUCUCCCCCGUUUCCGUCUCUUCUCAUCCUCCCCUCUCCCGCCCCACCCUCGCCCACCGACCCCCAUCCCACAGUCAUAUCCACCGCCAUGGCCAUGUGAGUUACCUUUACUGCGUUUACUAUUCCCUAUUGUGUAUGACUACGAUACGGGAUCCUGUCGUGGGGAGGCUGCGAGAUCGCAUGAGUCAUCCGCUCGAGUUCAAGCCAUUGGCGUAGGCUCCUUAUGCCCCCACGUAGAAAACAUCUCCUUGGAACAGGCUUGAUAUCUAUACUCUCUCUCUCUCUCUCUCUCUCUCUCUCUCUCUCUCUCU